GACGAACGCUGGCGGCGCGCUUAACACAUGCAAGUCGAGCGAAGCGGCGGACGGGUGAGUAACACGUGAGUAACCUGCCUUAGACAUUGGGAUAGCCUCGGGCAACCGGGAUUAAUACCAAAUGGUCUAAGAUGGACUCGCGUCCCAUUAGCGAGUUGGUGCGGUAACGGCCCACCAAGGCGAAGAUGGGUAGCCGGCCUGAGAGGGGGAACGGUCACAUGGGAACUGAGAAACGGUCCAAACGCGACGGGAGGCAGCAGUGGGGAAUAUUGCACAAUGGAGGGAAAUCUGAUGCAGCGAGGCCGCGUGAACGAAGAAGGCUUUCGAGUCGUAAAGUUCUUUUAUAUGGGAAGCGGUACCAUAAGAAAAAGCCCCGGCUAACUACGUGCCAGCAGCCGCGGUAAUU
rnacentral:rRNA from 1 species